CUUUCUAGGAAUUUUGUUGUUUUCGUUGAUUCCAGUCAGUGAUGAAAAAAAAAUCCAUAUUUCUGGUGAUUGUUUUAACAUCUCAAUCUUAAAGAAAAACAAAAAUGAAACCCUGUCAAAACAGUUACUUCCGGGAAAACUCAACAAACUGAAGAAGAGAAAAACGAAAACAAAAAAAUUAAGAAGAAAAAACACUGAAAUGGUGUUGUAUUGUCUGUUGAAAUUGAAGAUAGUCCCUGGUCUGCCAAAGCAAAUGUAAUGCUUCAAGAACUCUUCUGUCAACUUCACAAAAUAAAUCUUUAUCUUCUAAACUUUGUCCUUUGUGUCCAAUGAAAAUCGAAAUUCUUCAAAUUAA